rnacentral:pre_miRNA from 1 species
AAUAAGUUUAUUUAUGGGUUUGUCUUCAAUACUUGACCAUCCGUUUUAUUUAAAAUUUUGUUAUGAUCAGUAUUUUUGUUGUUAUUAGAUGAUAAAAACAUGUAUAAUAUUUUGUGUGUGAGUUAUUUCUUUUAAUUUUUUAUAUUUUUUUUAAAUAAAACGGACGAUCACCCGUUAAAUACAGAAUACAUAAAUAAACUUAUA